rnacentral:rRNA from 1 species
CGUAGGACCCAAGCGUUAUCCGGAGUGACUGGGCGUAAAGAGUUGCGUAGGUGGUUUGUAAAGUGAAUAGUGAAAUCUGGCGGCUCAACCGUACAGGCUAUUAUUCAAACUCACAAACUCGAGAAUGGUAGAGGUAACUGGAAUUUCUUGUGUAGGAGUGAAAUCCGUAGAUAUAAGAAGGAACACCAAUGGCGUAGGCAGGUUACUGGACCAUUUCUGACACUGAGGCACGAAAGCGUGGGGAGCGAACCGGAUUAGAUACCCGGGUAGUCCACGCCGUAAACGAUGGAUACUAGCUGUUGGAGGUAUCGACCCCUUCAGUAGCGAAGCUAACGCGUUAAGUAUCCCGCCUGUGGAGUACGGUCGCAAGACUA